rnacentral:rRNA from 1 species
CCCAGACUCCUACGGGAGGCAGCAGUGAGGGAUAUUGGUCAAUGGGGGGAACCCUGAACCAGCAACGCCGCGUGAGGGAAGACGGUUUUCGGAUUGUAAACCUCUGUCCUCUGUGAAGAUAAUGACGGUAGCAGAGGAGGAAGCCCCGGCUAACUACGUGCCAGCAGCCGCGGUAAUACGUAGGGGGCAAGCGUUAUCCGGAUUUACUGGGUGUAAAGGGAGCGUAGACGGCAAUACAAGUCGGAAGUGAAAUACCCGGGCUCAACCUGGGAACUGCUUUGGAAACUGUAUGGCUAGAGUGCUGGAGAGGUAAGCGGAAUUCCUAGUGUAGCGGUGAAAUGCGUAGAUAUUAGGAGGAACACCAGUGGCGAAGGCGGCUUACUGGACAGUAACUGACGUUGAGGCUCGAAAGCGUGGGGAGCAAACAGGAUUAGAUACCCUAGUA